rnacentral:rRNA from 1 species
AGAGUUUGAUCCUGGCUCAAGAUGAACUCUAGCUACAGGCUUAACACAUGCAAGUCGAGGGGCAGCAUGGUCUUAUCUUGCUAAGGCCGAUGGCGACCGGCGCACGGGUGAGUAACACGUAUCCAACCUGCCGUCUACUCUUGGACAGCCUUCUGAAAGGAAGAUUAAUACAAGAUGGCAUCAUGAGUCCGCAUGUUCACAUGAUUAAAGGUAUUCCGGUAGACGAUGGGGAUGCGUUCCAUUAGAUAGUAGGCGGGGUAACGGCCCACCUAGUCUUCGAUGGAUAGGGGUUCUGAGAGGAAGGUCCCCCACAUUGGAACUGAGACACGGUCCAAACUCCUACGGGAGGCAGCAGUGAGGAAUAUUGGUCAAUGGGCGAGAGCCUGAACCAGCCAAGUAGCGUGAAGGAUGACUGCCCUAUGGGUUGUAAACUUCUUUUAUAAAGGAAUAAAGUCGGGUAUGGAUACCCGUUUGCAUGUACUUUAUGAAUAAGGAUCGGCUAACUCCGUGCCAGCAGCCGCGGUAAUACGGAGGAUCCGAGCGUUAUCCGGAUUUAUUGGGUUUAAAGGGAGCGUAGAUGGAUGUUUAAGUCAGUUGUGAAAGUUUGCGGCUCAACCGUAAAAUUGCAGUUGAUACUGGAUAUCUUGAGUGCAGUUGAGGCAGGCGGAAUUCGUGGUGUAGCGGUGAAAUGCUUAGAUAUCACGAAGAACUCCGAUUGCGAAGGCAGCCUGCUAAGCUGCAACUGACAUUGAGGCUCGAAAGUGUGGGUAUCAAACAGGAUUAGAUACCCUGGUAGUCCACACGGUAAACGAUGAAUACUCGCUGUUUUGGCGAUAUACAGCAAGCGGGCCAAGCGAAAGCGUUAAGUAUUCCACCUGGGGGAGUACGCCGGCAACGGUGAAACUCAAAGGAAUUGACGGGGGCCCGCACAAGCGGAGGAACAUGUGGUUUAAUUCGAUGAUACGCGAGGAACCUUACCCGGGCUUAAAUUGCAGAUGAAUUACGGUGAAAGCCGUAAGCCGCAAGGCAUCUGUGAAGGUGCUGCAUGGUUGUCGUCAGCUCGUGCCGUGAGGUGUCGGCUUAAGUGCCAUAACGAGCGCAACCCUUGUUGUCAGUUACUAACAGGUUCCGCUGAGGACUCUGACAAGACUGCCAUCGUAAGAUGUGAGGAAGGUGGGGAUGACGUCAAAUCAGCACGGCCCUUACGUCCGGGGCUACACACGUGUUACAAUGGGGGGUACAGAGGGCCGCUACCACGCGAGUGGAUGCCAAUCCCAAAAACCUCUCUCAGUUCGGACUGGAGUCUGCAACCCGACUCCACGAAGCUGGAUUCGCUAGUAAUCGCGCAUCAGCCACGGCGCGGUGAAUACGUUCCCGGGCCUUGCAC